AUACAGAGGGUGCGAGCGUUAAUCGGAAUUACUGGGCGUAAAGCGCGCGUAGGCGGUUAUUUAAGUCAGAUGUGAAAUCCCUGGGCUCAACCUAGGAACUGCAUCUGAAACUGGGUAACUAGAGUUUAGGAGAGGGGAGUAGAAUUUCGGGUGUAGCGGUGAAAUGCAUAGAGAUCCGAAGGAAUACCAGUGGCGAUGGCGACUCCCUGGCCUAGAACUGACGCUGAGGUGCGAAAGCGUGGGUAGCAAACGGGAUUAGAAACCCUAGUAGUCC
rnacentral:rRNA from 1 species